CUUUGAUGACCGUUGUAAAUUUUCCUAAUGGCGCAUGCACGGCUCAGCUGUGUGCAAUCGCGACCAGUUUACGUAGAAAAAUAAUGUAUUUUAUAGUAUUUUUAUCUAAUUAGACGGAGUACUGGGGCAUGGUAUUCGUGAUAUUAGGAAACAUGGACUACCCAUCCAGUAUUGCAACAGUGCAUAAAUUGUGCUUACAUUGCAUGUAGCCUUUUGUUUUGCAUUACUUUUGAUGCAUGAAGAGGAACAAUACAUUUUUGAGGCAAAUUAUUCCUAGCUUCUAAUAGGAGAAAUGGAUGCAGUACGAGAUGAGGACAGGCGCAGGCGCCUAAGAGGGCUGGAGGAACGUAUAAAAGAUCCAAGGAGCGUUACAAAUAUUGAUUGCCUAUUGGAUACAGUCCAAGCUUUGGUGGCUGAUUGCGAGCAUCCCAGUGUAAAACGUAUGAAAAAUAUAGAAGCGUAUAUGAAUAGAUAUGACUCAGUGGCUCAAGAUAUUAGUAAAAUGCGAAUGCGUACAGAUGACUUCACUCUAAUAAAAGUGAUAGGUCGUGGGGCAUUUGGGGAAGUACAGUUGGUACGUCAUAAGUCUACCCAAAAAGUGUAUGCUAUGAAAUUACUCAGUAAAUUUGAAAUGAUUAAACGAUCAGAUUCUGCUUUUUUCUGGGAAGAACGUGAUAUAAUGGCACAUGCCAAUUCCCAAUGGAUAGUUCAACUUCAUUUUGCAUUUCAAGAUCAAAAAUAUCUUUAUAUGGUGAUGGAUUAUAUGCCAGGUGGUGAUUUAGUAAACUUAAUGUCAAAUUAUGAUGUGCCAGAAAAAUGGGCGAAGUUUUAUUGCGCUGAAGUGGUGCUUGCAUUAGAUGCAAUACACCUUAUGGGAUUUGUUCAUAGAGACGUAAAACCGGAUAAUAUGUUACUUGAUAAGCACGGUCAUUUAAAACUUGCAGAUUUUGGCACUUGUAUGAGAAUGGAUGUUGACGGACUUGUUCGAUCUGAUACUGCAGUGGGUACACCUGAUUAUAUAUCGCCGGAAGUACUACAGUCUCAAGGCGGUGAAGGUGUAUAUGGAAGGGAAUGCGAUUGGUGGUCAGUUGGUGUGUUCUUGUAUGAAAUGCUCGUCGGUGAUACUCCUUUUUAUGCAGAUUCAUUAGUCGGAACAUAUUCAAAGAUCAUGGAUCAUAGAAAUUCAUUACACUUUCCUCAAGAAGUUGAUAUUUCUCACUCUGCCAAGAAUUUGAUAUGCGGUUUUCUUACGGAUAGAACUAAACGUUUAGGAAGAAACGGUGUAGACGAAAUAAAAAGUCACCCUUUCUUUAAAAAUGAUCAGUGGACUUUUGAAAAUUUACGAGAAUGUGUGCCGCCAGUAGUACCAGAACUUUCUGGCGAUGAUGAUACCAGUAAUUUUGAUGACGUUGAUAAGGAGGAUGGGCCAGAAGAGAGUUUUCCGGUACCAAAAGCAUUUUCUGGCAAUCAUCUACCAUUUAUUGGUUUUACGUAUUCGGGAGAUUAUCAAUUAAUGGCUUCUAAUGGUAAAGAAUCGGUAGAUGGAUUAGAAAAUCAUAUCAAUAAUGGUACAAGCGAUGAUAUUAAAAUUUCUCAAUUGGAAAAUUUAUUGGACCGAGAGAAAAGACAAGUAGAAUCCUUGGAAUCGAGGCAAAAAGCUUUGACGACACAGUUAGAAGCUAUGACGCGUCGAGAAACUGAAUUGCGCGAAGAGAUAGGUAGAGCGGAUAAAGAAUUGACUUUGCUGAGACACAACUACAAAGAAGCACAACGUAGGGUAGAACAUGAGACAGAAUCGCGCAGAAAAGCAGAGUCGUUGUUUGUGGAGUUAAAAAAAAAGUUUGACGAAGAACAAACAAAAAGAGCGCGCGAUGCAAGCAAUUCGCAACAAACUUCUGAACGCGUCACAACAUUAGAAAAACAAAUUAAAGAAAUGCAAUCAAAAUUAGAAAGAGAAACGGAAGCCGUAACGAGGUUACGAAAACAAGCUACAGAGAUUACUGUGGCUCGUCAAGCUGCAGAACAAAUGGCAAACGAGUUGCAAGUAGCAAGAGCACAGCUACAGGCGCAACGAGAUAACUUACAGCAAGAAGUGGCAACGUUACAAGGGCAAUUAUCGAAGGAGCGUAGUUCACGAUCACAGGCGUCAUCUUUAACCGUUGAAUUGGAAACCCGUCUUUCUGCUCUUCAUCUUGAACUCGAACAUAGUCGCGAAAAAGAGGAAAAAGUGAUCAUGGACAACAGGCAAUUGACUGAAAGAAUUUCGGCGUUGGAAAAAGAAGCUGCUAGUUUGACUCUUGAAUUAAAGGCUGCGCAAGCUAGGUAUAAUCAGGAAGUGGUGGCGCAUCAAGAAACGGAACGUUCGCGUAUAUUAUCAAAAGAGGAAGCUAAUUUGGAAGUUGUUAAAGAGCGAAAGAAUAAAAUAUUUGAAGCGCUACAAGCAAAACUAAACGAGGAAAAAAGUGGAAGACAACGUGCUGAAUUGCUCGCGCAGGAGAAGGAGCGGCAAACCUCUAUGCUCUCCGUGGAUUAUCGUCAGAUACAACAACGAUUACAGAAACUGGAGGGUGAGCAUAGGCAAGAGGUAGAAAAGGUAAAAGUAUUACAGGGUCAGGUAGAACAGGAACAGCAGAAAAGAAACGUUCUGCAGACUGAAUUGGCACAGCAGUCAUCCGAAGCAGGACGGUUACGUGCCAGGGAACAGCAGUUAGUUGGCGAGGUUGCUCAGCUCAGAGAAGCUAAACGGCAAAUAGAAGAAGAGCUACAUCACUUGAAAACUCAAAGAAAUGUGGACCAGUUGCAAACCAAGGAAUUACAAGAACAGUUGGAAGCAGAAGCGUACUUUUCGACUCUUUAUAAAACACAGACACAAGAACUUCGAGAAGAGCUGGAAGAAAAAAUUCGGUUGCAACAAGAGUUAGAAGAAGAACGUAGUUCUUUAGUUCAUCAGUUACAAUUGUCGUUAGCUAGAGGAGACAGUGAAGCUUUAGCAAGAUCAAUAGCCGAAGAAACUGUGGCAGAUCUCGAAAAAGAACGAACAAUGAAGGAGUUGGAAUAUAAAGACGGAGUAGCCAAACAUCACCAAGAACUAAAUGCAAAAGAACAAAUUAUAAAUCGACUUAAAGACAGUGAAGGUGAUCUUAAGAAGAAUGUUGAUCAAUACUUUAAAGAAAAGGAAGAUUUAAGUAAGCGGUUUAAAGAGUUGCAAGAUCAACUUACUAAAGCACAAUCUAAUGCCGAAGAAAUAGAAAAACUCAGUAGUAAACUGAAAACUGAGCAAUUAUUGAAACAGCAGGCGGUUAAUAAGCUAGCAGAGAUCAUGAACAGGAAAGAUUUAUCUUCAAGCGGUAAGACUAAGAACAAAGCAUCUGCAGCGGAUCUAAGGAAGAAAGAGAAAGAUUGCAGACGUUUACAACAGGAGCUUACUCAAGAGAGGGAAAAAUACGGACAACUGGCAGCUAAAUGGCAAAAGGAUUUGCAAGAUUUACAAGCACAAUUGGUAGAAGAAAAUCAAGCGAAAUUGAGGUUACAAAUGGAACUAGAUUCAAAAGAUUCAGAGAUAGAAACGUUGCAAAUGAAGAUCGCGUCGUUGAACUCGGAAACUGCUAGCGUCUCAUCCGUAGAAAAUGAUGGGGAAGAUUCUGUUUUGUCGGAACAUGGUACGAGGAGAUUGGAAGGCUGGUUAAAUGUGCCAAAUAAACAAAACAUUAAGAGGCACGGCUGGAAGAAGCAAUACGUUGUUGUCUCUUCGAAGAAGAUAAUAUUUUACAAUAGCGAAAACGAUAAACUAAACGCGGAUCCAGUUUUGAUAUUGGAUUUAAAUAAAGUCUUCCACGUUAGAUCUGUUACUCAGGGUGAUGUCAUCCGAGCCGAUGCCAAAGAUAUUCCGAGAAUUUUUCAGUUAUUAUACGCUGGUGAAGGCGAAGCAAGGCGUCCGGGCGAUGAAGGAAACACACUGCCUGGAGUGGAACUGCCACAACUUACGGAUAAACCAGGAACACAAUCGUUAAAAGGCCACGAAUUCGUUUCAAUAUCGUAUCACAUGCCCACAACUUGCGAGGUAUGCUCAAAACAACUGUGGCAUAUGUUCCGACCACCACCUGCUCUCGAGUGUCGAAGGUGUCGUAUAAAAGUGCAUAAGGAGCAUUUGGACAAGAAGGAAGAUACCAUAGCGCCGUGUAAAUUGCACUAUGAUCCGAACAGCGCUCGUGAACUUUUAAUCUUGGCUGGUAGUCCUGACGAGCAGAAGUACUGGGUUGCAAGACUGUCUAGACGUGUACAAAAAUGUGGCUACAAGGCGAACUCGCAUGUCGACGGCACGGGGCAGCGUGUCUCGCCAAGGGAGUCUACGAGAUCUACCUUGAAGCCAUACUCAUCGGUGCAACAACGAUCCGCGACUCUGCCAGCGAAUGCCAGCAUGGGCAAGUGACCUUAGCUAGCAUUGACAAUACCUGGUUGGAAUUCGUUACUUCGACGUCCUUCCUAACGAUCAUCGAUAGCAGUUCGUUCGUUACUUUUGAAACGAUUGCGUAGAGGAGAUAAGACACCGCGAAGCUCUUAACCCCUC